AUGUUGAGGCUCGGUCGGCUUGACCUGUGAAGAGGCUAGACGACACUGA
rnacentral:snoRNA from 1 species